UUAAUGGAGAGUUUGAUCCUGGCUCAGGACGAACGCUGGCGGCAUGCCUAACACAUGCAAGUCGAACGGACUUUUAGUUUUUAGUUUACUAAAUACUAAAAGUUAGUGGCGGACGGGUGAGUAACGCGUGGGUAACCUGCCCAUAAGUUGGGGAUAACUCCGGGAAACCGGUGCUAAUACCGAAUAAGCUUAAUUUACCGCAUGGUAGAUUAAGUAAAGAUGGCCUCUUUACAAUGCUAUCGCUUAUGGAUGGACCCGCGUCUGAUUAGCUAGUUGGUGAGGUAA
rnacentral:ncRNA from 1 species